rnacentral:rRNA from 1 species
UACGAAGGGGGCUAGCGUUGUUCGGAAUUACUGGGCGUAAAGCGCGCGUAGGCGGGCCUUCAAGUCAGGGGUGAAAUCCCGGAGCUCAACUCCGGAACUGCCUUUGAUACUGGAGGUCUUGAGUUCGGGAGAGGUGAGUGGAACUCCGAGUGUAGAGGUGAAAUUCGUAGAUAUUCGGAAGAACACCAGUGGCGAAGGCGGCUCACUGGCCCGUUACUGACGCUGAGGCGCGAAAGCGUGGGGAGCAAACAGG